rnacentral:rRNA from 1 species
AGAGUUUGAUCCUGGCUCAGGACGAACGCUGACGGUGUGCUUUAGGCAUGCAAGUCGAACGAGAAAGCCCUUCGGGGUGAGUAAAGUGGCGAACGGGUGAGUAACACGUGGGCAACCUGCCCCUCGCAGGGGGACAACCGGGGGAAACCCCGGCUAAUACCCCGUACGCUUACGGAGCCGCAUGGCUCCGUAAGGAGAGGUAGCUUCGGCCAUCCGGCGAGGGAUGAGCCCGCGGUACAUUAGCUAGUUGGUGAGGUAACGGCUCACCAAGGCGACGAUGUAUAGCUGGUCUGAGAGGAUGAUCAGCCACACUGGGACUGAGACACGGCCCAGACUCCUACGGGAGGCAGCAGUCGGGAAUCUUGCGCAAUGGGCGAAAGCCUGACGCAGCAACACCGUGUGAGCGACGAAGGCCUUCGGGUCGUAAAGCUCUGUUGUUGGGGACGAAGGGUUAGGGGUUAAUAGCCCCGAGCCUGACGGUACCCUUCGAGGAAGCCCCGGCUAACUACGUGCCAGCAGCCGCGGUAAUACGUAGGGGGCGAGCGUUGUCCGGAAUUAUUGGGCGUAAAGAGCGUGUAGGCGGUUCGGUAAGUCUGUCGUGAAAACCCAGGGCUCAACCCUGGGCGUGCGGUGGAUACUGCCGGGCUAGAGGGUGGUAGAGGCGAGUGGAAUUCCCGGUGUAGCGGUGAAAUGCGCAGAUAUCGGGAGGAACACCAGUAGCGAAGGCGGCUCGCUGGGCCACACCUGACGCUGAGACGCGAAAGCGUGGGGAGCAAACAGGAUUAGAUACCCUUGUAGUCC